GACGAACCGUGCAAACGUUGUUCGGAAUCACUGGGCGUAAAGCGUGCGCAGGCGGUUCGCUGUGUCCGAUGUGAAAGCCCCGGGCUCAACCUGGGAAUGGCAUUGGAAACUGGCGGGCUUGAGUGCGGCAGAGGGGGGUGGAAUUCCGCGUGUAGCAGUGAAAUGCGUGGAGAUGCGGAGGAACACCGAUGGCGAAGGCAGCCCCCUGGGUCGACACUGACGCUCAGGCACGAAAGCGUGGGGAGCAAACAGG
rnacentral:rRNA from 1 species